rnacentral:antisense_RNA from 1 species
GGCAGGUUGAGGGUGAUGCCAGGAAUCAAGAUGGCCGCCUGCGACCGCUCUCAGCCCCUUCGGCCUCUACCUGAAGAGCCACGCCCCGUCUGCUACACCCAACCGGUUGGUUCCUCAAUCACAGAGAGGAAAGGCAACAUGAGGAUGACGUCAGAUACAAAUAUGGCGUUUUGGACGGGUUCAAUAGUUUGCUUGGCGUCUACUCAAGUAAUGCUGAUAGUAUAGCAAGAAGGUAUUCUGAGCAUUGUAUCAAUGGGGAAGUUCUAGAUCUUUUGCAAAGCAGGAGCAAGCUGCCCUGUUGUGAGCUCUCCGGUGGAGAGCCCCACAUGGCAAGAAAAUGAGAAGCCCCCUGGACAGACAAGAGCUGAGGCCCAGGAUACAAUAUCCUAAAAAAAACUGAAUCCUGCUGACAGUUGCCCAAGUGAAGCUGGAAGUGGAUCUUUCUGCAGUGGAUCCUUGAGAUGACUGCAGCCCUGGCUGACAACUUGAUUGCUGCCUGUGAAGGACCCUGAACCAGAGGACUCAGCGAAAUUGUGCCCAGAUUCCUGAGCUACAGAGGCAGUGAGAUAAUAAAUGCUGUUGAGGCCACAAAGUUUUGAGGUAUUUGUUAAUACAGCAAUGGAUACUUAAUACAGCUUCCUACAUGGUCUUCCUCCUUCGACCUUCACAAUACAAUCUGUUGUCCACACAGCAGUCAGAGAUCCUUUUAAAACGUAAGUCAGAUCAUCAUGACACUCACCUCCCUGCUAAGUGGCCUGCAAGGCCUUUCACGGUCUGAUCCCCUAUCCUCU